GACAGAGGGGGCAAGCGUUGCUCGGAAUCACUGGGCGUAAAGGGCGCGUAGGCGGGAUGGCAAGUCAGUCGUGAAAUCUCUCGGCUCAACCGAGAAGCGUCGGCUGAUACUGCCGUUCUUGAGGGAUGCAGAGGAGACUGGAAUUCCCGGUGUAGCGGUGGAAUGUGUAGAGAUCGGGAGGAACACCGGUGGCGAAGGCGACUUCCUGGCCUGUUCUUGACGCUGAGGCGCGAAAGCUAGGGUAGCAAACGGG
rnacentral:rRNA from 1 species